GAUGAACGCUGGCGGUGUGCCUAACACAUGCAAGUCGAACGGAAAGACCCUGCUUUUGUGGGGUGCUCGAGUGGCGAACGGGUGAGUAACACGUGAGUAACCUGCUCUUGAUUUUGGGAUAACUUCAGGAAACUGGGGUUAAUAUCGGAUAGGAGCCCCUGCUGCAUGGUGGGGGUUGGAAAGUUUCGGCGGUUGGGGUUGGAUUGGCGGCUUAUCAGUUAGUUGGUGGGGUAGUGGCUUACCAAGGCUUUGACCGGUAGCCGGCCUGAGAGGGUGGAUGGGGUCAUUGGGACUGAGGGACGGCCCAGCCUGGUACAGGGGGCAGCAGGGGGGAGUAUUGCACAGUGAGCGGGAGCCUGUGAAAGCAACGCCGCGUGCGGGAAGACGUCCUUCUGGUUAAAAACAGCAUUCGCCUGUGACGAAGCGUGAGUGACGGUAAUGAGUGAAGAAGCACCGGCUAACUACGUG
rnacentral:rRNA from 1 species